AACGUAGGUACCGAGCGUUAUCCGGAUUUACUGGGCGUAAAGCGCGUUCAGGCGGUUUGGCAAGUCGGGCAUGAAAUCUCUCGGCUCAACCGGGAGAGGUUGUCCGAUACUGCUGGACUUGAGGGCAGUAGAGGGUGGUGGAAUUCCGGGUGGAGUGGUGAAAUGCGUAGAGAUCCGGAGGAACACCAAAGGCGAAGGCAGUGUCCUGGGGAGUACCUGACGCUCAGGUGCGAAAGCCAGGGGAGCGAACGGG
rnacentral:rRNA from 1 species